GUUCGAGCGUCAUUACAACCCUCAAGCUCUGCUUGGUGUUGGGCUCGCCCUUUGGGGCCUGCCUCAAAAUCAGUGGCGGCUCCGUCCGGUCUCAAGCGCAGUAAUACUCGUCGCUUGUUGGAUUCGGUCGGCGGCUUGCCAGCAACCCCCAUUUUUACAAGGUUGACCUCGGAUCAGGUAGGGAUACCCGCUGAACUUAA
rnacentral:misc_RNA from 1 species